GACGAACGCUGGCGGCGUGCUUAACACAUGCAAGUCGAACGAAGAGCGAUGGAAGCUUGCUUCUAUCAAUCUUAGUGGCGAACGGGUGAGUAACGCGUAAUCAACCUGCCCUUCAGAGGGGGACAACAGUUGGAAACGACUGCUAAUACCGCAUACGAUCUAAACUCGGCAUCGAGGAUAGAUGAAAGGUGGCCUCUACAUGUAAGCUAUCACUGAAGGAGGGGAUUGCGUCUGAUUAGCUAGUUGGAGGGGUAACGGCCCACCAAGGCGAUGAUCAGUAGCCGGUCGGAGAGGAUGAACGGCCACAUUGGGACUGAGACACGGCCCAGACUCCUACGGGAGGCAGCAGUGGGGAAUCUUCCGAAAUGGACGAAAGUCUGACGGAGCAACGCCGCGGGAGGGAUGACGGCCUUCGGGUUGUAAAGCUCGGUUAAUCGGGACGAAAGGCCUUCUUGCGAAGAGUGAGAAGGAUUGACGGUACCGGAAUAGAAAGCCACGGCUAACUACGUG
rnacentral:rRNA from 1 species